rnacentral:rRNA from 1 species
UGGCUCAGAUUGAACGCUGGCGGCAGGCCUAACACAUGCAAGUCGAGCGGUAACAGAGAGUAGCUUGCUACUUUGCUGACGAGCGGCGGACGGGUGAGUAAUGCUUGGGAACAUGCCUUGAGGUGGGGGACAACAGUUGGAAACGACUGCUAAUACCGCAUAAUGUGUACGGACCAAAGGGGGCUUCGGCUCUCGCCUUUAGAUUGGCCCAAGUGGGAUUAGCUAGUUGGUGAGGUAAUGGCUCACCAAGGCGACGAUCCCUAGCUGGUUUGAGAGGAUGAUCAGCCACACUGGGACUGAGACACGGCCCAGACUCCUACGGGAGGCAGCAGUGGGGAAUAUUGCACAAUGGGCGCAAGCCUGAUGCAGCCAUGCCGCGUGUGUGAAGAAGGCCUUCGGGUUGUAAAGCACUUUCAGUCAGGAGGAAAGGUUAACGGUUAAUACCC